rnacentral:lncRNA from 1 species
GUCUUUUUGCCUUUUGUAGGGCCACUCCCGAGGCAUAUGGAGGUUCCCAGGCUAGGGGUCUAAUCAGACCUGUAGCCACUGGCCUACACCACAGCAGCGUGGGAUCCCAUCCGAGUCUGCAACCCACACCACAGCCCACGGCAACGCCAGAUCCUGAACCCACUGAGCAAGGCCAGGGAUUGAACCUGCAAACUCAUGGUUCCUAGUUGGAUUCGUUAACCACUGCUCCACGACAGGAACUCCCUAUAUAUCUUAUUCUUUAUUUAAAAUCAUCUUGAUAUAUAGUAUUUCCACUUAUUUUUGCCCCAACACAAAUUUUAUUAGAAUGCUGUAUAAAAUAACCCUUUCCUGUUAUCUGACAUGUCCUUCAUCGUGUACAUUUUUUUAUAUAUAUAAUGACUUUUUUUUCCAUUAUAGCUGAAGGAAGGAAGAGCACACGACUCCUGUGGAAGAACUAGGAGGACACCAGAGAGUUGAAGGUCUAGUGCUCUCUAUUUUCUCCAUGACUUUGAACGUAAACACCUCUCCCUCAACAAGGAAGUAAGCCUGAAGGGGGUAUCUUUAUUUUCAUGGUAUGUAGAGCUAGAAGUAAAAAAGAGCCUCUAAGCCCCAGCAAUUUAACAAUUCCUUGAGUUGAGAUUCCUUUAGCCAACUGUGUUAAAUCACACGUCUUCCAGUCCCCCUCUUUUUGGGGGGUUUUAAUUCCGAAUCUUAAAAUAAUAUUCAGACUCUCUCCCAGCACAGUGCUCUGAUGGCAGAAUGUCACAUAAAGGGAAGAGAUGUGGCCACGACCUUGAAGUAAGUUAGCUGUGCGGUUUGCUGGUAUAACGUCAAAUCCUAGAUCUGCAGCUUCCACGUGGAGCUAGAAGAUUUAUUUAUGUAUUAGCUUCACUUUAUUUACUUUUUUUUUAUUUCCCCAAUACAUAUUUUCUACCAUACAGCAUGGGGACCUAGUUAUACAUACAUGUAUACAUUCUAUUUUCCUCCCAUUAUCAUGCUCCAUCAUAACUGACUAGACAUAGUUCCCAGGGCUACACAACAGGAUCUCAUUGCUAAUCCAUUCCAAAGGCAAUAGUUUGCAUCUAUUAACCCCAAGCUCCCAAACCACCCCACUCCCUCCCCCUCGACAACCACAAGUCUGUUCUCCAAAUCCUGGGAAAUUUAGUUCACAACCAAGUCCUUAGCUUCUAGGUGGGGAGAAGGAGUUCCCGUUGUGGCUCAGCACAUUAAGAACCAGACUAGUACCCAUGAGGAUGUGGGUUUGAUCCCUGGCCUUGUUCAGUGGGUGAAUGAUCCAGCCAAGCUAUGGCGUAAGGUCACAGAUGCAGCUUGGAUCCAGGGUUGCUGUGGCGUAGGCCGGCAGCUGUAGCUGCAACUCUGAUUUGACUCCUAGCCCAGGAACUUCCAUAUGCUGCAGGUGU